rnacentral:rRNA from 1 species
AUGACUAGGAGGAUAAAUAUCUUUGCUCCUAACUUGUCCCCCAAGGCCUCUAGAUUCUGGAAAGGGAUCAAAUCCAUUAUCCAAACUCUGAAAUUUGGUUACAGAUGGAAGAUUAAGUCGGGGAAUACUGUAAGAUUCUGGGAAGAUACCUGGUUUGGCACUUAUCCUCUGGUUGUGCAAUUCUGGCCUAUUUACUCCAUUUGUAAUGAGCAAACCAAAAGUGUCAAUGAGGUUUGGGAUGGGCAUCAGCUGAAACUUUCUUUUAGAAGAAACUUUGAUGAUAAGCUUAUGGAGCAACGGUAUCAAUUAGUGGAGAUGGCUAACAGUGUCGUUUUCACUGAUGAUAUUAAUGCUCUGGUUUGGCAACUAGAAAACAAAGGGACUUAUUCUGCUAGCUCUCUUUAUCAUGUGAUUAGCUUUAGAGGGGUGCAACUAGUCUUCAUUCUUUGUGUCUGGAAACUUAGGGUUCCCCCGAAAAUUCAUGUUUUUCUCUGGCUCUUUGCUAAUAAUAAGCUGACGACCGAAGACAACCUUAGAAAAAGGCAGAUUAUUAAACCUAUGGAUUGUGUUUUCUGCUCUGAUGUUGAAUCUAGUGCUCAUUUAUUCUUUGACUAUGUAGUUGCUAAGCAGAUUUGGCCCCUGGUGAAAGGGCAUUUUGGGAUCAAAAUUGGGGCUGGUUUCAAAUCAGUAGCCAAAAUUUGGGUCUCAAAUAAAAAAACUCUACUCUCAAUACUGUCAGCUCUGCUGUGCUUUGGUGUCUUUGAAAAUAUAGGAACUCUAUCAUUUUCAAUAACACCUUAUGGAUCUCCAUCAAAGAGGUGUUGA